UCAUUACAGAGUUGCAAAACUCCCACAAACCAUCGCGAAUCUUACCCGUACGGUUGCCUCGGCGCUGGCGGUCCGGAAAGGCCCUCGGGUCCUCCCGGAUCCUCGGGUCUCCCGCUCGCGGGAGGCUGCCCGCCGGAGUGCCGAAACUAAACUCUUGAUAUUUUAUGUCUCUCUGAGUAAACUUUUAAAUAAGUCAAAACUUUCAACAACGGAUCUCUUGGUUCUGGCAUCGAUGAAGAACGCAGCGAAAUGCGAUAAGUAAUGUGAAUUGCAGAAUUCAGUGAAUCAUCGAAUCUUUGAACGCACAUUGCGCUCGCCAGUAUUCUGGCGAGCAUGCCUGUUCGAGCGUCAUUUCAACCAUCAAGCUCUGCUUGCGUUGGGGAUCCGCGGCUGCCCGCGGUCCCUCAAAAUCAGUGGCGGGCUCGCUAGUCACACCGAGCGUAGUAACUCUACAUCGCUAUGGUCGUGCGGCGGGUUCUUGCCGUAAAACCCCCCAUUUCUAAGGUUGACCUCGGAUCAGGUAGGAAUACCCGCUGAACUUAAGCAUAUCAAUAAGCGGAGGA
rnacentral:rRNA from 1 species